CAGGGGUGCGGUCGGUGUGUCGGGCGGCAGAAGAGGCACUGCUCCCUGCAUGGAACCAGGGAACGGAGGGGAUCCAGCAGCCUCUGGGCAGCGGGAGCCCUGGGACGCCGGGAGGUGGGGUGCGAGGCAGUGCCAGGGAGCCCCGAGCCCAAGGACAGAGAGGAGUGGAGACCCGGGGAAUCCCUGAACAAGACCAGAUGAAGACGGGCCGUGCUGUGAUCCCAGCCCUGGCGAGGAGAGAUGAGUCACACGUCCCAGGGAAAUGGACCUUUCAAGCUCCCCACGACUUCCACCUGGGCCCCAUCAACGUAGCAGCCGAGCAUCGCGAGCUGGUGUGGCCUUGUGCUAACGUCUCUUCUGUUCACACACUCGGGCCUGGAAGACGCUGCAGGAUGAGCGCACGGUGCUGGCUUCCUAGUGAGACGGACUCAAACCCCGUCCAUCCCCGAAGAGCUAAGACCCCACUCUGACCGCUGGGCCACCAGGGCAUUUCAGGUCACCCCCGGCUCCCACGGCGAGGUGCCCAUGCUAGUCAAUCCCAGAGUGUCUGAGGGCGUUCUUCCCCUGGUGCACGUUUAUCCUAAUGAAGGGCAGGACUUCUUACUGGAAGCCUAGGAGGAGGGAUUGCAAACGGUUAUGAGCUGUUACCCGGCCACUUUCCUCAAGCCCGCACCAAGAGGCCACGCAUGGAUCAGGCCUUGGGGAUCCUGAGGGUCACGAUUCUCUCCUGUGAUGACUCAGGAAAGCCGCUUCCAGACCUGGAGUUCCCUGAGACCCCCCCCACCCCGGCUUCUCACAAACACACCUUCCAUCCCGGAGACUCGCUCUCCCCCCUGUGACUGGCCUGUGUUGUGUGUUUUUCAGCUCUUCAUCAUUUUAUCAGUAAGUAAUUAUCGAUAAGAAAGUUCUUGAAAUCUCUAGAGAAGAAUUUUUCAAACUGGUUGCAUGGACACAGUCUCAGGAUUAUCCAAUGAGGAUUUAAAAUUCUUCCAUUUUGUCUUUUUAUUAAGUGAUUACAGUUCACUUAAAUGAUUUUUUUUUCUCCCAGUGAUCACUUGCCUGUGAAAGACGUUUUAGGAGAACGUGAGCUUGCUUUGUUAAAUAAUUGUUUUCAAAAUUAGAGUGAUGAGUACGGUUGAAGAUAAGGAAAAAUAAGUGGGAAAUGUUAGAAAAUUUCUUAAGAGUAGCCAGCCUGUUUAAAAAAAAAAAAAAAAAAGAGUAGCCAGCCUCUUUAUUUUUAUUUAUUUAUUUAUUUAUUUAUUUAUUCAAUUUAUUUUGCCAGCCUCGUUAAAUAGAAUGCCCUAUGAAUAGUUUUGUAGUAUUUGAAAGAAACAUGGAAUCGAAAAUAUAUACUCUGUUUUCUUAGAUCUACAAUUGGAACAUUUUGACUAAUGGAUUCUUCGUGUUUGAUGUAUUUUAAAUUUUUUAGUUGUGUAGGAUCACAUUAAUAGGAGCAAAUAUUUACCUGAAAUAAUUUAUGGAGAAAUAUGUGCAAUUGACCUCAGAACUUACACAGGUUUGAACCGCAGUGGUAUUUGACUUUCGUAGACCAAAAGUUUUCGGAAGUAAUAAAGUUGUCAUAACAACAUGUGAAUACCA
rnacentral:lncRNA from 1 species